AUAGGACCAACUCUUUGUUGAGGUGGAUCUUCAAAUAACACUCACCCUUUACAAAUUUCCUAACAACUGUGAUGACUAAAGGGUUUGGAGUUGUCCUCCAUAUACAAUUCCUCCGCUUAGCGUAUCUAUAAACUAUAAUUACAAAAAUUAAAGGAAAUUAAUUUAUGAAAUUAAAUGUAAUAUAAUUAAAUAUUUAAAAUAAGUUGCGAAAACACUUACUUCGUCUUAGCAAUUGGCUCCGCUUUUCAUGUCUUCUUGUGGCCUUAAAAACUUCACCAUUUUAGUGUGGUCCUUAUAUAAAUAUAGGGUUUUUAUCAUAAAUAGUCUUUGAAAUUGAUCUACACCAUCAAAAUGGUUCCUGAAUUUGAAAAUCGAUUAAUAUAGUCCCUGAAAAUGGAUAUCGCAAAUUAAUGUAGUCCUUCCGUAAAAAAUUCUGUUAUGUGAUGAUGUGACACAUAACUGGAUCCCCCAAUCUAUUUAAAUAUUGUCCAUGUGGAUUUA
rnacentral:lncRNA from 1 species